rnacentral:lncRNA from 10 species
UCCUCCUAUAUAUAAAGUCUCAUUCUCUUGUUCUCUAUCACUCUUGUCCACUUGUUCCAGCUCUCUCGUUCACCUUCUCUCUCCAGAUUCUGAUCUAUCUCUUGACCUCCUUAUUUUUCUUAUUUUCUCUUACUCUUUCUGCUUUCUUUCCUUUUUUUUUUUUUUUUUCAGAGUCUUUGGUCUACUGCUCACUCACUCCAGCAGGG